CUGCUUGUAGGGAAGUUUGGCCAUCCCGCCUGGUUUGGGACCAGGAAACCGCACGUUCGAAUCGUGCCUGGCAGA
rnacentral:tRNA from 1 species